rnacentral:rRNA from 1 species
UGGGGGAAACCCCCCAGGAGCACCACCGCGUGGGGGAGNAAUGUUUUUGGAUUGUAAACCCCUUUUCUCAGGGAAGAAGAUCUGACGGUACCUGAGGAAUCAGCAUCGGCUAACUCCGUGCCAGCAGCCGCGGUAAUACGGAGGAUGCAAGCGUUAUCCGGAAUUAUUGGGCGUAAAGCGUCCGCAGGCGGUUAUUCAAGUCUGCUGUCAAAGACUGCAGCUCAACUUUGGACCGGCAGUGGAAACUGAUUUGACUAGAGUAUGGUAGGGGUAGAGGGAAUUCCCAGUGUAGCGGUGAAAUGCGUAGAUAUUGGGAAGAACACCAGUGGCGAACGCGCUCUACUGGGCCAUAACUGACCCUCAGGGACGAAAGCUAGGGGAGCGAAAGGGAUUAGAUCCCCCUGUAGUC